UUCCGGUUGAUCCUGCCGGACCCCACUGCUAUCGGGAUAGGACUAAGACAUGCUAGUCAAGCGCUUUCUAGCUAAUGUGAGAGCGCGGCGUACAGCUCAGUAACACGUGGCCAACCUGCCCUUGGGACGGGAACACCCCCGGGAAACUGGGGUUAAUUCCCGAUAGGUGAAGAAGUCUGGAAUGAUUCUUCGCUCAAAAGACGUUUAUGUCAUGCUCAUAUUCGUCGCCCAGGGAUGGGGCCGCGACCGAUCAGGUAGUUGGUGAGGCAAUGGCUCACCAAGCCUUUUACCGGUGCGGGCCGUGAGAGCGGGAGCCCGGAGAUGGGCACUGAGACAAGGGCCCAGGCCCCACGGGGCGCAGCAGUCGCGAAAAUUUUGCAAUACACGAAAGUGUGACAGAGCUAUCCCGAGUGCCAUCCGCUGAGGAAGGCUUUUUACCCAGUAUAAUUAGCUG
rnacentral:rRNA from 1 species